rnacentral:tRNA from 1 species
GCCUCUGUAGCUCAGUUGGUUAGAGAGCUGCACCGGAAUCGCAGGGCCGUAGGUUCGAUACCUACCAGACGAC